UCCGGUUGAUCCUGCCAGAGGCCGCUGCUAUCCGGCUGGGACUAAGCCAUGCUAGUCUAGGGGCUUGUACUCCUUCGGGGGUGCAAGCACCGGCGGACGGCUCAGUAACACGUGGACAACCUGCCCUCGGGUGGGGGAUAACCCCGGGAAACUGGGGCUAAUCCCCCAUAGGUGAUGGGUGCUGGAAUGCCCCAUCUCCGAAAGCGCUUAGCGCCCGAGGAUGGGUCUGCGGCGGAUUAGGUAGUUGGUGGGGUAACGGCCCACCAAGCCUAAGAUCCGUACGGGCUGUGGGAGCAGGAGCCCGGAGAUGGACCCUGAGACAAGGGUCCAGGCCCUACGGGGCGCAGCAGGCGCGAAACCUCCGCAAUGCGGGAAACCGCGACGGGGUUAGCCGGAGUGCCCGUGCAUUGCACGGGCUGUCGGGGUGCCUAAACAGCACCCCAUAGCAAGGGCCGGGCAAGGCCGGUGGCAGCCGCCGCGGUAAGACCGGCGGCCCGAGUGGCGGCCACUCUUAUUGGGCCUAAAGCGUCCGUAGCCGGCCCAGUAAGUCCCCCGGGAAAUCUGGUCGCUUAACGAUCAGACUUCCGGGGGAUACUGCUGGGCUAGGGAC
rnacentral:rRNA from 1 species